rnacentral:rRNA from 1 species
GAUGAACGCUGGCGGCGUGCCUAAUACAUGCAAGUCGAGCGAACAGACGAGGAGCUUGCUCCUCUGACGUUAGCGGCGGACGGGUGAGUAACACGUGGAUAACCUACCUAUAAGACUGGGAUAACUUCGGGAAACCGGAGCUAAUACCGGAUAAUAUAUUGAACCGCAUGGUUCAAUAGUGAAAGACGGUUUUGCUGUCACUUAUAGAUGGAUCCGCGCCGCAUUAGCUAGUUGGUUAGGUAACGGCUUACCAAGGCAACGAUGCGUAGCCGACUUGAGAGGGUGAUCGGCCACACUGGAACUGAGACACGGUCCAGACUCCUACGGGAGGCAGCAGUAGGGAAUCUUCCGCAAUGGGCGAAAGCUUGACGGAGCAACGCCGCGUGAGUGAUGAAGGUCUUCGGAUCGUAAAACUCUGUUAUUAGGGAAGAACAAAUGUGUAAGUAACUAUGCACGUCUUGACGGUACCUAAUCAGAAAGCCACGGCUAACUACGUG